rnacentral:rRNA from 1 species
AUUGAACGCUGGCGGAAUGCUUUACACAUGCAAGUCGAACGGCAGCACGGACUUCGGUCUGGUGGCGAGUGGCGAACGGGUGAGUAAUACAUCGGAACGCGCCCAGUCGUGGGGAAUAACGUAGCGAAAGCUACGCUAAUACCGCAUACGAUCUAAGAAUGAAAGCGGGGGAUCGCAAGACCUCGCGCGAUUGGAGCGGCCGAUAUCAGAUUAGGUAGUUGGUGGGGUAAAGGCUCACCAAGCCGACGAUCUGUAGCUGGUCUGAGAGGACGACCAGCCACACUGGGACUGAGACACGGCCCAGACUCCUACGGGAGGCAGCAGUGGGGAAUUUUGGACAAUGGGCGCAAGCCUGAUCCAGCCAUGCCGCGUGCAGGAUGAAGGCCUUCGGGUUGUAAACUGCUUUUGUACGGAACGAAAAGGUUUGACUUAAUACGUUGGACUCAUGACGGUACCGUAAGAAUAAGCACCGGCUAACUACGUGCCAGCCGCCGCCGUAA